rnacentral:rRNA from 1 species
CGCGUAGGCGGCAUGACAAGUCACUUGUGAAAUCUCCGGGCUUAACCCGGAACGGCCAAGUGAUACUGUCGCGCUAGAGUGCGGAAGGGGCAAUCGGAAUUCUCGGUGUAGCGGUGAAAUGCGUAGAUAUCGAGAGGAACACCUGAGGUGAAGACGGGUUGCUGGGCCGACACUGACGCUGAGUGCGCGAAAGCCAGGGGAGCAAACGGGAUUAGAUACCCCGGUAGUCCUGGCCCUAAACGAUGAAUACUUGGUGUCUGGAGUAAUUUGUGCUCCGGGUGCCGUCGCUAACGUUUUUAGUAUUCCGCCUGGGGAGUACGCUCGCAAGAGUGAA